rnacentral:rRNA from 1 species
ACAAUCCUACGGGACGCAGCAGUAGGGAAUCUUCCACAAUGGACGAAAGUCUGAUGGAGCAACGCCGCGUGAGUGAAGAAGGGUUUCGGCUCGUAAAGCUCUGUUGGUAGUGAAGAAAGAUAGAGGUAGUAACUGGCCUUUAUUUGACGGUAAUUACUUAGAAAGUCACGGCUAACUACGUGCCAGCAGCCGCGGUAAUACGUAGGGGGCAAGCGUUGUCCGGAUUUAUUGGGCGUAAAGCGAGU